GAGACUCUGUGCGCGUGCAUAUCAAUAAGCGGAGGAAAAGAAACUAACAAGGAUUCCCUUAGUAACGGCGAGUGAAGCGGGAAGAGCUCAAAUCUGAAAUCUUCAAGGUUCUACCUUGACGAAUUGUAGUUUAAAGAAGUGUUUUCUGUUAGUGGAGUGGCAAAAGUUCUCUGGAAUAGGACAUCAUAGAGGGUGAGAAUCCCGUAUUUGGUCAUUCCUUCUAGCUUUGUGAUACACUUUCAAAGAGUCGGAUUGUUUGGGAAUGCAGUCCAAAAUGGGUGGUAAAUUUCAUCUAAAGCUAAAUACUGGCGAGAGACCGAUAGCGAACAAGUACCGUGAGGGAAAGAUGAAAAGAACUUUGAAAAGAGAGUUAAACAGUACGUGAAAUUGUCAAAAGGGAAGCGUUUGACACCAGUGUUGUUUUCUCGAAAAUCAAUUAAAAAUGGCAGGAUUUUGUGUUGUAUUGACUUUAAAAGCUUUCUUCACUCUUUUCUUGUCUUUUUUAAUGCACUUUUCGUUUAACAAGUCAACAUCAGUUUCUUUUGUUGUAAAAGGGUCAUUGGAAGGUGGCUUUCUUUUCGGAGAAAGUGUUUAUAGCCUUUGAUCUCUGCAACCGGAGAGAUUGAGGUCUGCAGCGUAGAUCCUUCGGGGUUAGAUACAUUUGUGCUAAGUUGUAGCUUUUCAUAGACAACUUGUUGACUAUGUUUAGUCAUGCGGCUUACUCGCUUGUGCUAUUUUACCUACGCUUAGGAUGUUGACUGAUAUGUAGUCGUA
rnacentral:rRNA from 1 species